ACGCUGGCGGCGUGCCUAAUACAUGCAAGUCGAACGCACUGACGUCGACCGAAGCUGCUUGCAGUGGACGUUGAUUGACGUGAGUGGCGGACGGGUGAGUAACACGUGGGUAACCUACCCUUAAGUGGGGGAUAACAUUUGGAAACAGAUGCUAAUACCGCAUAACCAUUCAGACCACAUGGUCUGAAUGUAAAAGACGGCCUUUGGCUGUCACUUUUGGACGGACCCGCGGCGUAUUAGUUAGUUGGUAAGGUAACGGCUUACCAAGACAAUGAUACGUAGCCGACCUGAGAGGGUAAUCGGCCACAUUGGGACUGAGACACGGCCCAAACUCCUACGGGAGGCAGCAGUAGGGAAUCUUCCACAAUGGACGAAAGUCUGAUGGAGCAACGCCGCGUGAGUGAAGAAGGUUUUAGGAUCGUAAAACUCUGUUGUUGGAGAAGAACAGGGACUAGAGUAACUGUUAGUCCUUUGACGGUAUCCAACCAGAAAGCCACGGCUAACUACGUGCCAGCAGCCGCGGUAAUACGUAGGUGGCAAAGCGUUGUCCGGAUUUAUUGGGCGUAAAGCGAGCGCAGGCGGUUUUUUAAGUCUGAUGUGAAAGCCUUCGGCUUAACCGAAGAAGUGCAUUAGAAACUGGGAAACUUGAGUGCAGAAGAGGACAGUGGAACUCCAUGUGUAGCGGUGAAAUGCGUAGAUAUAUGGAAGAACACCAGUGGCGAAGGCGGCUGUCUGGUCUGUAACUGACGCUGAGGCUCGAAAGUAUGGGGAGCGAACAGGAUUAGAUACCCUGGUAGUCCAUACCGUAAACGAUGAAUGCUAAGUGUUGGAGGGUUUCCGCCCUUCAGUGCUGCAGCUAACGCAUUAAGCAUUCCGCCUGGGGAGUACGACCGCAAGGUUGAAACUCAAAGGAAUUGACGGGGGCCCGCACAAGCGGUGGAGCAUGUGGUUUAAUUCGAAGCAACGCGAAGAACCUUACCAGGUCUUGACAUCCUUUGACCACUGUAGAGAUACAGCUUUCCCUUCGGGGACAAAGUGACAGGUGGUGCAUGGUUGUCGUCAGCUCGUGUCGUGAGAUGUUGGGUUAAGUCCCGCAACGAGCGCAACCCUUAUGACUAGUUGCCAGCAUUUAGUUGGGCACUCUAGUAAGACUGCCGGUGACAAACCGGAGGAAGGUGGGGAUGACGUCAAAUCAGCAUGCCCCUUAUGACCUGGGCUACACACGUGCUACAAUGGUCGGUACAACGAGUUGCGAACCCGCGAGGGUAAGCUAAUCUCUUAAAGCCGAUCUCAGUUCGGAUUGUAGGCUGCAACUCGCCUACAUGAAGCCGGAAUCGCUAGUAAUCGCGGAUCAGCACGCCGCGGUGAAUACGUUCCCGGGCCUUGUACACACCGCCCGUCACACCAUGAGAGUUUGUAACACCCGAAGUCGGUGGGGUAACCCUUUUAGGGAACUAGCCGCCUAAGGUG
rnacentral:rRNA from 2 species